GAUGAAGAACGUAGCGAAAUGCGAUAAGUAAUGCGAAUUGCAGAAUCCGUGAGUCAUCGAAUCUUUGAACGCACAUUGCGCCCCUCGGUAUUCCGUGGGGCAUGCCUGUUCGAGCGUCAUUUACCCCUCAAGCACUGCUUGGUGUUGGGCGUCUGUCCCGCUUCGCGCGCGGACUCGCCCCAAAGGUAUUGGCAGCGGUCGUGCCAGCUUCUCGCGCAGCACAUUGCGCUUCUCGAGGCGGUCGAUCGGCGUCCACGAAGCUCACCUCCACCGUUUGACCUCGGAUCAGGUAGGGAUACCCGCUGAACUUAAGCAUAUCAAUAAGCGGAGGA
rnacentral:misc_RNA from 1 species